CAAUGGCGUACUUCUGGGGUGGUUGGGGCUUCACUUCACCGUCUUCAGGGUUGAUAUAGCUGUUUCCAGUGACCUUCGGGGUGGUGUCUGCAGCAGUAACUUCUGAGACGGAACCUGAAUCACCUCCCUUUUUAUCAUCAAACAAUGUAGACGAAGGUAAGUUACCAUCUUCAACCUGUAUCUCCCGGGUCCAAUCCAUAUGCUCUGUUUCACGGGCAACAUAUUUCUCUCCUACAACCACUUCGGGACAAUCCACCUUAAUUUGUUGCUGCUCAUUCGAUGCAUCUUCCUGCACGUUGAUGUCCACCUUCACUUGAGGAUCUUCAGGAGCCUUUCCAUUUUUGGUAUCAUCCUUAACUGCAACCUCUGUGUCCCCUGACAAUGG
rnacentral:misc_RNA from 1 species